rnacentral:lncRNA from 1 species
UCCACAGAUCCUCUUUUGGACGUGCACAAAAGAGAAGUCCUUCUGUUUGUAAAGCUCAGCAGAAAAAGAGAGAAAGCUACAGGUAAACCAAACCGAGCAACAUUUCAAAACUCAUUCUGUCUUUGUCUCCACUGUUUUUCAGUCAUAUAUACUGUGCAUUUUUGCAUUUUGCAGACUUGAGUGUUCCUCGGGUGAUGAUGACAAGGACACAGAUGAGGACACCAACCACUGGAGUGGAAGGUGUAGGUCAGAGAAUACAUCAGUGAAAAUGCAGUCUGCAAAAAUGAAAGAGCGACUCGCUAAUCUCCGACAAGUAAGAAUGAAUCAUAGUGUAUCUACGCAUAUUAUUAAGGGAUAUUUGAGAAAUGUUUUAUAACAGCUGUGUGUGUGUGUGUGUGUGUGUGUGUGUGUGUGUGUGUGUGUGUGUGUGUGUGUGUGUGUGUGUGUGUGUGUGUGUGUUUGUGUGUGUGUGUUGUUCAGAAAUGUGAGAAAGUGGAGGAGACACUAAUGUUGAAGAAAACUCAUUUAAAAGACGUUGAAGUCUGCCUCUCUGAACUUCAGCAGAGGAGAAAGGUAAAGUGCAGCAUCCUCAAUAGAAAACUGAAUAGAAGUCUCACUGACAAAAACUGACUCGCAGGUUAUGGUUUAUGCCCCAGCAUGCCUUGCGGGAAUUAGAGCGACUAAUGGCAGAGAACGCACGGAUUGAGAAGGAGAGGCAGACAAUGGAGUCCGGUCUGAUUGACAGCAGUGUAGAGAGAGACUCUCUCAGUUGCCAACUGAGAAAGUUGCAGAGGCAAAGAGAGUCGUAUGUCCAUGAGAUCAGAGACAUGGAAGAAGAACUUGCAGCUCUGAGUCAACAUAAAAAGACACUGAAGGACGGAUCCUGCAUGGAGAGGAGCAGCGUCAUCAUGUCGGUGCUGGAGAGGGAGGAGAUAGAGAGACAGCUGGACAGUGCAAAAACGGAAUUGUUCGCUGAACAGCGACGUGCAAGAGAGAAGCUUGAGUCCAUGCAAGAGAAUUUAGAGCAGACACGUGAGGAACUCCAGAGAGCCACAGAGGCAGAACGCUCACAGAGGAACAGGUGUGCAGGUCUGGAGGAGAAACAGAUCCAGAAAAAGGAGCAAAUUGAGGUGAUACCUUAUAUCAUCAUGCUAAAUUGUAAUCAUCACACUCUCUUCUAA